AAGGAUAAAAAACAAAACAAAACACUGUUGCUGUCCAGUGGCUAAAAAUUCAGCUCAUGCAAAAUGUAGCAACUGGUUUAUAUCUGACAAAGUCCAAGCAGACCCUGAAGCCUUUACAGUUGUCAGUGAUUUUAUAGCAUAAAAAUGGAAAUUAUCACAGAACUUUACUUUGGUGUCACCGUUUCCAGAAAAGUUGGGGCAGUGUGUAAAAUGUAAAUAAAAGCCAAAUAUAAUAAUCAUCAGAAUCGUUUCAGCCCCACAUGUAACUGAUGUACGAGGGCAAUCCCAAAAGUAAGGAGGAUCGGAUCAGAUCAGAUAAAGACUGAUAUUUCUUAUUAAUUUUGAACAACAUGCUAAUUUAUAUUUAUUUAUUUGUUUAUUUUUAGGAAUACAUUAAAAAAAUAAUAAAAAAAGAAAAAUGGGUCAGACCAGAAGAACAAAGCUGGAAAAUUUUUGCAACCCCCAAAACACCACCUGGUGGAACAGCUCCCCACUAACUGGGUUAAUAACUAACAUGAUUGUGUGCAAAAGGCUCCCAUGAGCCACAUUAGAGGAUGCGGCAGGGAUAACUUGCACAUCUGUGAAGGCACCGUUAAUGCUUAACGCUACGUAAAGGUUUUGGAGCAACAUUUGCGGCCCAUUCAGAUGUACGGA